UACGGGGGGUGCGAGCGUUGUCCGGAAUCACUGGGCGUAAAGGGCGCGUAGGUGGUUUGAUAAGGGUGUGGUGAAAGUCCGGGGCUCAACCCCGGAUCUGCCGUGCCGGCUGUCAAACUCGAGGACUGUAGAGGCAGACGGAAUUCCGGGUGUAGCGGUGGAAUGCGUAGAGAUCCGGAGGAAGACCGGUGGCGAAGGCGGUCUGCUGGGCAGUUUCUGACACUGAGGCGCGGACAGCGUGGGGAGCAAACAGGG
rnacentral:rRNA from 1 species